rnacentral:ribozyme from 1 species
UGCCCAGCAACUCCUAUCCCUACCUCCUCGCGGUACUGGCCGGAGUGCGAGUAACCUAAGGGAAGAUCGGAUAAUCAACCCCGGUGGGAACUCUGGUCGUAUGCUGACAGGGAAGA